UACAAGACUAGUUGCCUUUGGUAAGAGAUCUAAGGUACAAAUUGACCUGGGGGCAGAGGGACUGUGGAAAUCUGGAGGGACAGUUUGAAUGGUGAAUCUUGGAGGAUGGCUGCUUUGGAGGAUGGCAAAUGCAGCUUUUUCACUCUAGUGCAGACCUCUCUGGAAGUGACUCAGUGGGAAGCUCCAUUCUUAAGGUACAGGGCUGGGAACAAAGGCACCCAAACCUUGGACUGUUUGGAAGAGGAAACAGACAAAAUUUGUGCCAGAGGUUUGGCAGCUGGGUUUACUCAUAGCUUCAGGAGAUCGGAUCAUGAUACAUACCGAGUUACAAAUAGCCUACUGACUGUUUAAAGCACUCUUUUUAACUCCUGUGGUCUAGUAUUGAAUGGACUAAUAUAUUGCCUGAGAUUGUUAAUUGUACUAAUUAUGUCUCUUUCAGAACUUAUUCAUUGUCUCCUA